CACACACACACACACACACACACACACACACACACACAUGCACACACACACACUCGCUCCACAUCACACUGAUAAUCCCAGCAGCCUUAAAUAAUUUAUCAAGUGUGGAUUUCCCUUAAAAUAAAUGACUUUGUUUUUGAAUGAGCUCUCACUUAUCAUAUGUGAAUAAUAAGAGAAAAAAAUUAAGCUGAAAAACAAAACAAGGAAAAAUAAUAGAAUCAUCAUCAUCACAAUCAUGAAAAACAACCUUAUUUUCACAGGUUUCUUCAUGAAAUAAAAGCAUCAUUUAAUAAGAGAAAUUAUAACUUUAAGGUUGGCAGGGAGGUCGAUAAUUUUUAUCUGAAUGUGUAAAAAAAAAAGACUUCUUGAAAUACAGGAAGCACACCCCCUGACAUACACACUGACACACACUGACACACACACACAUACACACACACACACACACACACACAGUUUUAUGACUCUCUUCUUCAGUUAUGUCUGCAGCUGAUUGAUUUAAUUAGUUUAACAUACAUGUGCAUAAUUAAUGCCACAUAUUAACAACUCUAAAUAUAUCUCAACACAUCUUGAGCGCACAAUUAUUUUCCAGGCACCCUGAAAUAAAUCACUUAAUGCCAGCGUGCUUAAAUAAGAGCACAAUAUUUCUUUAUAUACUUGAAAACACUCCAUUAAAUAUUAAUAAUUUACAGCAACACUUCUGAGGAAAAUACAAUAUUUACAUCGCAUGUAAUGGGGCUGUUUUCAGACAUAUUUUUUGAAAGAAUUAGCAUAUUACGGCAUUAAAUCAACACUGAUUAGAGCAGAGGACACUGAGUAAGGAUUAUAAGAUUCAAAAAAUAUUUUUGUUGAAUUCAUCUGUUUGUCUUUAUUUCCUCCUGACUCCAGCACGUGGGAUGUGUGUCAUUUACAGGGAAUUGAUUUGCCGUUUGUUGGAACGUAAAAGCAGUUUGUUGCAAAGUGUCGGUGCUUUCCUCACACGUCGGCUGCUGCAGGUGACGUCCGAUGCAGGGAGCUGAGCCACUUCACUCCUCCCAGAUGUCCUUUUCCUUCCAAGCCGAGCAGCGACGGAGGCAUAUUUUAGAGAUCUCUCCCUCUCCGCUGAGGCAUCUUCUUAUCCUGUCAAUCAGCAGCCCGCCUCCACCCCGGCUCUGCGCGGGGCUGAGCAGCUUGGCGGAGAUGCAGGGUGAUGAUGAGAACUCGUCGCAGCCUAGCAGGGUUUCCUCCUCAUCAAGCUCAGAACAAAGGGGGGCCCGGUCCGCUCGGCUGCUCUAAAUACAGCCUGCAACAUGCCCCAGCCAACUGUUUAACACACUCUGCUUUUAUAUGCAGACGUGAAAAUAGAAGUGUGGAUGCCGGAAUCGGUCACAGGAGGGAGUUUCGUUGUGUUUGGAUGUCAGGUGAAGUGGUUUGACAAAAGUUACAGUACAUUGGAUGUUUUCAAAAACAAAACAAAACAGAAACUGCUGUGUAAUGAACAUUUGACGAAGUCAGAGGACACGCUAAGGAGGGCGAGGGUCAAUCACAAGUGGCUAAAAUCCAUAUUAAAAUAAAGGUGAAGAUUUGAACAGAUGAUGCAGAUAGCAGCUGUUUUCAGACACCAGGAAAGGAGUGCCUGACUACAGACAAGAUUUCACUCAUUAACCUGUGUGGCACUGCCUGAUGUCAGACACACUUGUCAACUCGUUACACUCCAACAACAAGUCGGCGGAGGUCUAUGUCCCAUCCCAUAGUACAGAGUGACUGGAAAUGUUUUAUACUGGAAAAGUGGCAAAAUUAUGCUCAUGUCGGACUACAUUUGCUUGAUGUGUGAGUGCGCUGUGAUGGACACUAUUGUGCCACAAUGCACAAAGAAUACUGAGGAGCUGUCACAAUGAGAACAACUCAAACACACUGUGGAUGUGUGAAGACUGAAUCAGUGUACAACUUUUUGUUUAACAUCGUCUCCGCAGAGAAGAUUUACACAAAAACAUGAUUUAAAGAUGUACACCAAUAAAAGUUUGAAUCAUA